rnacentral:tRNA from 1 species
GCCUUUGUGGUGUAGUGGUCAGCACGCUCGAGGCCUAACCGAGAGGUCCGUGGUUCGAUUCUCAGCGAAGGCG